rnacentral:rRNA from 1 species
GAUGAACGCUAGCGGGAGGCUUAACACAUGCAAGCCGAGGGGUAGAGUUAGCUUGCUAACUUGAGACCGGCGCACGGGUGCGUAACGCGUAUGCAACUUGCCCUACUGAAGAGGAUAGCCCAGAGAAAUUUGGAUUAAUACUUUAUAAUAGACUGAAUGGCAUCAUUUAGUUUUGAAAGAUUUAUCGCAGUAGGAUAGGCAUGCGUAAGAUUAGUUAGUUGGUAAGGUAACGGCUUACCAAGACGAUGAUCUUUAGGGGGCCUGAGAGGGUGAACCCCCACACUGGUACUGAGACACGGACCAGACUCCUACGGGAGGCAGCAGUGAGGAAUAUUGGACAAUGGGUGGAAGCCUGAUCCAGCCAUCCCGCGUGUAGGAUGACGGCCUUAUGGGUUGUAAACUACUUUUAUCUGGGGAUAAACCUACUUACGUGUAAGUAGCUGAAGGUACCAGAAGAAUAAGCACCGGCUAACUCCGUGC